rnacentral:rRNA from 1 species
AUUUAUUUACACCAACAAGCGCCAGGGAAUUACGAGCAUAUGCUUAAAAUCCAAAGGAUUUGACGGUGUCCCACCCACCUAGAGGAGCCUGUUCUAUAAUCGAUAAUCCUCGAUAUACCCAACCAUUUCUUGCUUUUCAGCCUGUAUACCUCCGUCGCARGCUUACCAUUUGAAUGUAAAAGAGUAGGUUUAAGGAUUCCCCAUCAAUACGUCAGGUCAAGGUGCAGCCAAUGUAAUGGAAAGUAAUGGGCUACAAUUUYUAUAAUAGAACAAACGAAACACUGCAUGAAAAACAGUCAUGAAGGCGGAUUUAGUAGUAAAAGGAGAAUAGAGAGCUCCUUUUAACAAGGCCCUGGGACGUGUACACACCGCCCGU